GUUAAGCAUAUCAAUAAGCGGAGGAAAAGAAACUAACAAGGAUUCCCCUAGUAGCGAGCGCAGCGGAAGCGGGAAGAGCUCAAAUUUAUAAUCUGGCACCUUCGGUGUCCGAGUUGUAAUCUCUAGAAGUGUUUUCCGCGUUGGACCGCACACAAGUCUGUUGGAAUACAGCGGCAUAGUGGUGAAACCCCCGUAUAUGGUGCGGACGCCCAGCGCUUUGUGAUACACUUUCAAUGAGUCGAGUUGUUUGGGAAUGCAGCUCAAAUUGGGUGGUAAAUUCCAUCUAAAGCUAAAUAUUGGCGAGAGACCGAUAGCGAACAAGUACCGUGAGGGAAAGAUGAAAAGCACUUUGGAAAGAGAGUUAACAGUACGUGAAAUUGUUGGAAGGGAAACGCUUGAAGUCAGACUUGCUUGCCGGAGCUUGCUUCGGUUUGCAGGCCAGCAUCAGUUUUCCGGGGUGGAUAAUGACGGUUUGAAGGUAGCAGUCUCGGCUGUGUUAUAGCUUUCCGUUGGAUACGCCCUGGGGGACUGAGGAACGCAGCGUGCUUUUUGCGAAAGACUCGUCUUUUUCACGCUUAGGAUGCUGGUGGAAUGGCUUUAAACGACCCGUCUUGAAACACGGACCAAGGAGUCUAACAUGCUCGCGAGUAUUUGGGUGUCAAACCCGGAUGCGCAAUGAAAGUGAAUGUAGGUGGGAACCGCAAGGUGCACCAUCGACCGAUCUGGAUUUUUUAAGAUGGAUUUGAGUAAGAGCGCGUAUGUUGGGACCCGAAAGAUGGUGAACUAUGCCUGAAUAGGGCGAAGCCAGAGGAAACUCUGGUGGAGGCUCGUAGCGGUUCUGACGUGCAAAUCGAUCGUCAAUUUGGGUAUAGGGGCGAAAGACUAAUCGAACCAUCUAGUAGCUGGUUCCUGCCGAAGU
rnacentral:rRNA from 1 species